UGGGGUAUCGCCAAGUGGAAAGGCAUCUGUUUUUGGUACAGACAUUCAUAGGUUCGAGUCCUGUUACUCCAA
rnacentral:tRNA from 1 species